CCCGCGAUGGAGUCACCGCACCUGUGCUUAAUCACUUUGCCGGCUGCUACUAAUCUUUUACCAUCCCGAAGCAGACCUAUUUAACUGUGCGGUCGGAUGACAGCCAGCGCUGGAAUGUUGAGACUUCAUUCUAGAAGUUAUGUUGGAGGAUGUCUGCUCAUACAACUUCACUGGAGAUACUCAAAGGAUUCGAAGGAUUCCUGGUGUUUCAGCUGGUAUAUUAGAACUGCAGGCAACCCACAAGGCUUAAGAUGUGUGAAACUGAAGCUGAAUCUCCAGAGCGUCCAUUGUCCUGCGGAUCUUACAUACUCCAGCUACGCUGCCUUUGAUUGCAGAUGAAUCUGCAGAUGGUGGAAAAUGGGUUCAUGUUCUCCUCUGACGAACUCAGCACAGCUGCACCCUGAGCAGGAGUCAAAGUCCAAUAUGUGGGAUGAAAGACUCGCUGGAGAAGCAGCUAAUUAUACUGC
ensembl:lncRNA